AUACGUAGGGGGCGAGCGUUACCCGGAAUUACUGGGCGUAAAGAGCGCGUAGGCGGCUAGGUAAGUCUCUUGUGAAAGCUCCCGGCUUAACUGGGAGAGGUCAAGGGAUACUAUUUAGCUAGAGGGCAUUAGAGGAAGGCGGAAUUCCCGGUGUAGCGGUGAAAUGCGUAGACAUCGGGAGGAACACCAGUGGCGAAGGCGGCCUUCUGGGCUGUGCCUGACGCUGAGGCGCGAGAGCGUGGGGAGCAAACUGAAUUAGAAACCCCAGUAGUCC
rnacentral:rRNA from 1 species